rnacentral:rRNA from 1 species
UACAUCGGAACAUGUCCUGUAGUGGGGGAUAGCCCGGCGAAAGCCGGAUUAAUACCGCAUACGAUCUGAGGAUGAAAGCGGGGGACCUUCGGGCCUCGCGCUAUAGGGUUGGCCGAUGGCUGAUUAGCUAGUUGGUGGGGUAAAGGCCUACCAAGGCGACGAUCAGUAGCUGGUCUGAGAGGACGACCAGCCACACUGGGACUGAGACACGGCCCAGACUCCUACGGGAGGCAGCAGUGGGGAAUUUUGGACAAUGGGCGAAAGCCUGAUCCAGCAAUGCCGCGUGUGUGAAGAAGGCCUUCGGGUUGUAAAGCACUUUUGUCCGGAAAGAAAUCCUUGGUUCUAAUAUAGCCGGGGGAUGACGGUACCGGAAGAAUAAGCACCGGCUAACUACGUGCCAGCAGCCGCGGUAAUACGUAGGGUGCAAGCGUUAAUCGGAAUUACUGGGCGUAAAGCGUGCGCAGGCGGUUUGCUAAGACCGAUGUGAAAUCCCCGGGCUCAACCUGGGAACUGCAUUGGUGACUGGCANGCUAGAGUAUGGCAGAGGGGGGUAGAAUUCCACGUGUAGCAGUGAUAUGCGUAGAGAUGUGGAGGAAUACCNAUGG